CCAAAAAGACGGCUGACCUUCGUCAGAAAAGGCAGUUGGGUUGAUCAGUGUUCCGGAGUGUGUCAAAAAAGUGCCUCGGAACACACCAAAGCGACAAGACGUAAUGCAUCUCCAUGACAGCAGGCGGCGCUAAUCUGUGUUGUCGCCCAAAAAUGAUAACCAGCAGCCGAUUGGACGAACCCGUUACGUGGGUCUGGCUUCUUCGUAAAUUCAAAGCCACACUAUCAUGGCGGCUUGUUCAGAAUACGAUCUCAUAUUUUACUGAAAUAGUUAUACUACCGAAACGUGUUUCUGAAAACAUUUAAAGCAAGAAAUAGGCCAUGCAGUUCCUGAGUCUGUCUUCAUUCCAGAUUGACAAAGGUCAGUUUAACAGAUUUUCAUUUGAUUUUGAGACUCUAGUCACACUCCUCCCACUCGCCGUUUCUU